rnacentral:rRNA from 1 species
GGAAUUGACGGGGCCGCACAAGGGCGGAGCUGCGGAUAAUUCGAUGCAACGGAAGAACUUACCAAGGCUUGACAUGUUCUCGUCGCGGAGAGUACGGUUCCCCUUUGGGGCGGGUUCACAGGUGGUGCAUGGUGUCGUCAGCUCGUGUCGUGAGAUGUUGGGUUAAGUCCCGCAACGAGCGCAACCCUCGUUCCAUGUUGCCAGCACGUAAUGGUGGGGACUCAUGGGAGACUGCCGGGUCAACUCGGAGGAAGGUGAGGACGACGUCAAAUCAUCAUGCCCCUUAUGUCUUGGGCUUCACGCAUGCUACAAUGGCCGGUACAAUGGGUUGCGAUACUGUGAGGUGGAGCUAAUCCCAAAAAGCCGGUCUCAGUUCGGAUUGGGGUCUGCAACUCGACCCCAUGAAGUGGGAGUCGCUUUGUAAUCGCAGAUCAGCAACGCUGCGGUGAAUACGUUCCCGGGCCUUGUACACACCGCCCGUCAAGUCACGAAAGUCGGUAACACCCGAAGCCGGUGGCCUAACCCUUGUGGGGGGAGCCGUCGAAGGUGGGACCAGCGAUUGGACUCU